GCUCGCUUAGCUCACUCGGGAGAGCGCCGCUAUGACAUGGCGGAGGUACGCGGAUCGAAACCGUGAGCGAGCACCA
rnacentral:tRNA from 2 species